rnacentral:hammerhead_ribozyme from 1 species
CUCCAGCUGACGAGUCCUAAAUAGGACAAAACGCCCUUCCUAGAU